UGGAAACAUCACAAAUCCUGAAUUUCAGGUGGCUGCAGUGAGUUGGCUCACUACCGCCAUACACAAACAUUCAGUGUCCAGGGAGCUGCAAUCCUACAGGGACGCUGCGAGUCAGUGCAAUAUUGAAAUGCAGAGUAGAGUUAUUUGGAGAAAAGAAAUUAAAUGUCUGAGUAGUCACUACUUCAACACAAAAAGUGAUUUUCUUUCUUGUCAGUCAUUUUGUUACUUUACUUAAGUGACAACUUCACCUAACGCAGUCGGCUCUUCCGCCUUUGACACUUCGGCAGCUGACGCCGAAAAGCAAUGUUGAUAUUUGGGAAUAAUCGCUGAUUAAGUCGAUCGGAAAGAGGCGAAAUUAUCCUGGAAAGUCGUCCACAUGGAUGCAAAAAUGGUUUCCUGUGAAAGAAAUGUGGAUUCUUGUAAAAGAAGUCAAAUAAAACGUGACGCCAAAUAAACGUUUAAUCCUCGUUGGCGAAAUCGCAUUAAUCAUAUAGAAAAUGAAUGUCAAGGAAAGCUGCAUUGUGGCACUGAAGUUUAUUAUCAAGCCACGUGGAAGUGAGGAGAAUGUGUUUAGGAAGUGGCUUGCGACAUUUAAGGGACAAUAUUCUACCACUCGGAAAUGCUACAGGAAAAAGGCUCUGGGUUAUUCCAUGUCCUGUUCCUGAGGUAAGGUGUGUCUAUGAGAAUGAAUGUGCAGCAAAAAGUUUGUCUAGAUCUUGGCUGUUUGCAUUCAAGACUUGGUGAUUGUGUGUGUGUGUACAAACGCAGUACCUGUACAUUCUCUCAGGGCUCAAAGUGCUGACUGCAUGCUGGAACACGGCACACAGCCUACAGGAAGCCCACACAGGAAACGGCCACUGCAUUGUUGCUCCUGUCCGCCGGGAAUCCAGCCGCUCCUUCAGUGUUGUUUCAGAGUUUCAGGAGCGUGUCACAUUUCGCCCCCUACGCACACUCGUACAAAGGCUAGACGUCCUUUUGCUCGACUGCAUCUGGCAUUGGUGUUUGUGUGAAUAGGAAGAGGAAGCAAUAUAUGUCUUGGCCCAUUCCACAUGGGUGCACUGCUUCCUAUAUUUCUUACAUUCCUGUUUUAUUGGCAUGUAAAUACUAAAGCUGCCAUUGUGCAUUUUUGUUUUUUAUUUAACCUACUGUAGUCAGUUUUUUGUCUUUUACAUUAUAAAUUGUGAAGUAAAAAUGUCUAUGUGUAUGUUAUUUAUGGCCUUUGCAAAUUCCAUAAUGCUGUUGUUGGCUGUCAUUCUGUCAGGUACUGCUCAAAUUCCUACCUCUGGUUUGUUCAUCACUUGCUUGCAACCCGAGUAAACCCAAAUGCAGUUUUAAAUGAUAUUUAUUGAAGCAAAAAAAAAAAAAAAAAAAAAUUCCUAUACCAACUGGGCCUUUGUAAAAAUGUAUUUGCCCCUGUUACUAAUUCCCCAAAUCUAUGACACUGCAUUCAUAAUGGGGUUUGGCUGGACUAGACGCAACCGGGCUUGAUUACUGCAAACCCACUUCAAUCAAAUCAACACUUGAACAGCAUGAAGUUGGUUAAUAGGUCUUACCCAGUUGCACACUAUGCCAAAAUUUAAAGAAAUUCCAGAAAUGGUGAGGAAGAAGGUGAUUGAAAUACAGCAGUCUGGGAAGGGUUAUACAGCUAUUCCAAAUACAAUGCGACUUCAAAGAACAACAGUGAGGGUCAUUAUCUCCAAAGGGAAAAACUCGGCUCAGUAGUGAACCUUCCCAGAAGUAGCCGACCUUCCAAAAUUAAUCCAUGAGCACAGCAACGACUCAUCCAGCAAGUCACAAAAGAGCCAAGGACAACAUCAAAGAACCUACAGGGCUGUCUUGCUUCAAUAAAGGUCACUGUUCAUGACUCCUCUAUCAGAAAGACACUGGGUAAAAAUGGCGUCUAUGGAAGCGUGGUGAAAUGAAAACCACUGUCGACCCAGAAUAACAUUAAGGCUCGUCAGAAUUUUGCCAAAACACACCUCGAUGACACACAAACCUGUUGGGAGAAUGUUCUGUGGAUUGAAGAGUCGAAACUAUUUGGAUGACAGGGGUCCCGUUAAAUCUGGCGUAAACCAAACACAGAAUUCCACAAAAAGAUAAUCAUCCCUACGGUCAAGCAUGAUGGUGGAAGUUUGAUUGUGUGGGGAUGCUUUGCUGCUUCAGGGUCUGGGCAACUUGCAGUAAUUGAGGGAAACAUGAAUUCUGCUCUCAACCAGAAAAUCCUAAAGGAGAAUAUUCUGUCUUCAGUGCGUAAGUUGAAACUCAAGUGCGACUGGAUUAUGCAGCAAGACAAUGAUCCAACGCAUAGGUGUAAGUCCACCGCUGAAUGGUUUAAAAAAAAUUUAAAAAAAGGCAAAAUGAAAGUUUUGGAGUGGCCUAUUAAAAGUCCGGACUUGAACCAAUUGAGAUGCUGUGGCAGGACCUUAAACGGGCAAUUCAUGCUUGAAAACUCUCCAGUGGAGCUGAAAUAAAGCAGUUCUGCAAAGAAGAGUGGGCCAAAAUUCCACCACAGAAAGACUGAUCUCCAGUUAUCAGAAGCAUUUGGUUGCAGUUAUUGCUGCUAAAGGUGGCACAACAUUUUAAGUUUAAGGGGGCAAUUAGUUUUUCACAUGGGAGAUAGGUGUUGGAUAACUUAAAAAUAAUAAUAGUAAUAAUAAUAAAAAAUGUAUUGUGUGUUUAUUCAGGUUGCCUUUGUUUUACGUUGUAUUUCAUUUGAAGACAUAUGAGAGAGACACAAAACCAAAAGAAAUCAAAAUGGGGCAAAUAAUUUUCCACAGCACUUAGUUUUUUUAGAUGCUUUACAUGCCUUGUGUAAUAGCAUAUUUAACCUCUAAUAUGAGUCAAAUUUAUACUGUUUGCUAUAAUUGAACUCAUUUGUCACUUGGAAGUGUGUCAUUUAUCACUUGGGAGUUUUUUGGUCAGCUAAUAAAGCAGAAUUAUUUUAAUUCCUUAGAUGGUAAGGAAGGAAGUGACAUGAUGCUGACCUCAAGGAACUGUUUUUGUUCUACUGCUGUACUGAUCCAGGGUUAAUCUAAUCUAAUGUGACAUACAGUUUUGGACACCAUUGCAAAUCAACCCAAUUAUAAAUUCGCUCAAAGGCUGAAAGGAAGAAUUUUUCAGAUGCAGUUAGUCUUAUGAGGGUUUUUCUUAUUGUUGUUGCUGUUCUAACUAGCAUGUUUUUUCCUGAGCAUUGGAAGUUUUCUGUGUAAUGAUCAAAAGGCUUAAUGAGUGGACUGAAGGAAGUCAUCUC
ensembl:lncRNA